rnacentral:lncRNA from 1 species
GCCGGGUUGCACUCCGCGUCCAGCAGGAAGAUGUUGCUAGGCUUCACGUUGUAGUGGACCAGCGGCGGCCGGAACGCCUGGUGCAGGUGGGCCAGCGCCCGGGCCGUCCCGGACACCACGCGGAACCGCUCCUCCCACGUCAUCGGCGGCAACAACUCCUCGCCGCCGUUGAGGUGGAGCCGCGCCUCCAGGCUGCCGUGCGCCGCGUAGUCAGUGAUCAGCAGCUGAAGCUGAGGCGUCCAGUAGUAGCCCUUGAGCGGCAGCAGGUUCGGGUGCCGCGCCUUCCCGAGCACGCGCACCUCACGCUCGAACUCCUCGCGCGACCGCACCAUGUUCGCCGCCACAAGCUUCUUCACCGCCACCACCCGCCCGUCGCCCACGGGCGCGCGGUACACCGUGCCGAACGCGCCGCGCCCGAUCUCCGUCGCCUUGCUCAGCAGCGCGUCGGCGCCGGCCACCAGGUCCUCUGACCGGAGGCUGCUCCCGGGACCGAACGUCACCAUCUUGCCGGCCGCGAGCUUGUCCUUGCCCUUUCCCUUCCCCCCGGGCGGUGACGACGACGACUUGGUCGUCGUGCUGGCGGUGACGAUGCUCUCGUCCACCUCCUUCUUCUGGCCGUGGCCGUGGCCACCGCCCGCCGCCUCGGCCCUCCGCCGGGCCGACACGUUGAGCAGCGUGAUCACGAUGACCCCCAGGACGAUCGCGACCGCCGCGCAGAUGGCCACCAUGGCGGACACGCUCAGGAACCGCCGCUUCCUCGGCGCUCCCACCCCGCCGCCGCCGCCGUUCGUCUCCAGGUUGUUGUUGUCGCCGCCGCCGGCCCCGCCGUGCGUGUACUCGUUGGGGUCCAGCACCAGCGGCUUGGGCACGUUCAUCCUGCACGGCUCCGCCACCAGCGGGCUGCAGAUGCCCAGGUUGCCCUCCAGCGCGCUCGCGUCCAGGCUCUGGAACACGCCCGACGCCGGCAGCCGCCCCACCAGGCGGUUGUGCGAGAUGUUCACGGCCAGCAGGUUCUCCAGCCCGCCCAGCUGCGCCGGGAUCUCGCCGCUCAGGUUGUUGUACUCCAGCCGCAGGAUCUCCAGCUUCUUCAGCUCCGAGAUGCCCGCCGGGAUCGGCCCCGUCAAGCCGUUGUGCCCCAAGCUCCUGCAGUUUGCAUGCAUAAACCAAACCGUUGGUCGUCAGAACUCAGACGACGGACGUGACGUGAGAGAGUGUCGUGAUCGUGACACAUUCACACAUGCAACGCAACACUUACAGGAGGUACAGGGAAGAACAGUUUCCGAUGCUGUCGGGGAUGGGGCCGGAGAGGGAGUUGCCGUCGAGCUGGAGCACGGCGAGGCUACCGGACUCGCAGAGGUCAGCGGGCAUGGCGCCGUACAGCCCGGUGCUACGCAGGUCGAGUACCGUCAGGUUGCGGAGUAGGCCGAGCUCCGGCGGCAGCGGCGUUCGGAGGUCGUUGCGGGACAGGUUGAGGUACCGGAGCUUGAAGAAGAGCGACAUCUCGGUGGGGAUGCCGCCGGUGAGCAUGUUGCCGGAGAGGUCGAGCCACUGCAGCGUCUCCGCCAGCCUAGUGGAGCCGGACGGCAGGACGCCCGAGAGCGCGUUCGACGACACGUCGAGCGUCUCGAGCCCGACGUCGAACAGAGCGUCCGGGAUGCUGCCGCUGAGGCUGUUGCCCCUCAGGUGCAGCUCGGCGAGCUUGGUGCACCCGGACAUGGAGGCCGGGACGGCGCCGGAGAGCUGGUUCCUAGACAGGCUCAGGUACUUGAGCGCCUUGAGGUCGCCGAGCGAGUCCGGCAGGCUUCCGGUGAACGCGUUGUCGGAUAAGUCGAGGUGCUGCACCGCGGCCAGCUUGCCGAGCCAUGCGGGGACGUCGCCGGAGAGACGGUUGCCGGACGCGGAGAGGUAGACGAGCGAGCCGAGCUGGCCGAUGGAGUCAGGGAGGUGGCCGUCGAACGCGUUGGAGCUGAGGUCAAUGGUGCUGAGGUGCGGGCACAGGCCGAUGUCGGCCGGGACGGCGCCGGAGAAGCGGUUGCCGCUGAGGCUGAGGGUCUUGAGGUUGUGGAGCCUGGCAAUGCCGUCGGUGACUGGGCCGGAGAACUGGUUCCGUGACAGGUCGAGCGUGCGCAGGCGCUCGAGCGGCCAGAGCGCGCCCGCGAAGUCAGGCGAGCCGGAGAGCUGGUUGCCGGACACGUUGAGGUGGAGCAGGAGCGGGCUCUUGGCCGCCAGCCCCUCCGGCACGGGGCCGGAGAACUGGUUGCCGGACAGGACCAGGAAGCGGAGCGUGCGCGGGAAGGCGGGCGGGAGCGGGCCGGAGAAGGCGUUGCCGGUGAGGUCGAGGUAGCGGAGGGAGGCGAGGCGCGCGACGUCGUCGGGGAGCGGGCCGGAGAAGGCGUUGUAGGAGAGGUCGAGCGAGCGGAGGGAGCCGAGGAGGGAGAGGCCCGGCGGGAGCGGGCCGGAGAGGUUGUUGCGGGCGAGGGAGAGGUCCUGGAGCGCCGGCAGGCGGUCGAGGCCCCGCGGCAUGC